rnacentral:pre_miRNA from 1 species
AAAGUACUCCCUCCGUCCGGAAAUACUUGUCAUUGAAAUGGAUGUAUCUAGAUGUAUUUUAGUUGUAGAUACAUCCAUUUUGAUGACAAGUAAUUCCGGACGGAGGGAGUAUCUA